rnacentral:lncRNA from 1 species
GUCAGAGUUGCCAUCCCAGGGUCAGCGAGAGACCGGUCCUCGGGUCCAGGGCUGAAGCGUCCUUCCCCGACCUCCAGUUCCUGCCCAGGACUCGGGAGGCAGAGCAGGGGGGCAGCAUGUAACCAGCGCUCCCACAGGGCAGGGUGCGACCUCACCUUCCACGGCGGCGGCGGCCAGGUGGCGGGAACGCCGGGGCGGAGCUGGGGGACUGCGGGGACCCGACAGGCCAUCGUGCACCAGCUGCAGGUGUGGCGCGUUGAAGGGGUUCGCCCGCGCCAGGUGCGCUACGGACGAGAACAUCCUCCUGCGGGGGAGACAGAGGGCGGAGGUGAGAGAGACCCGGCGCCGGGCAAUGUCACCGGAGCCCCGCGAGACAUGCCCGGCUCUGCGCCCUUGAGGAGGUCACAGCUUCUUCCCCAGGGACGCCAAGCCCGGCCGGGCCCACGGCCAAGGCGGCGGCCACAAGGGACUCAAGGCUCCGCGCCGCGGCGAGGCCCGGUCGCGCUCACUUGCCUAAGAUGGCGAACACCCAACCGCUCGCUGGGCAAGGUUGCGGCUCACAGAGGCCGAAUGUCCUCCCGGCCCGAAGAUCCGUGCCCUUCGCGCGGCGUCACCGUGACGCACGCAGAGCGUCACUGCGCCACGCGCCUCUCAUUUGCGGAGAGGAGCGCAGAACCUGGACGUCAUCGCGUCCUCCUAGCAACCCUAUCCCCGCCCACGUCCAACCCCAGCCCUUCCGGCCCUGCUAGUGCGCAGGAGGAUUCCUACUGCGCAGGCGCAGAUCCAAAGCGCCCUCCUCCCCCACUCCCCUUUUUUUUUUAAAGUGUAGUCUUGGCCUUGGACGGGCAGGUGACCUACUCACUCUGUCCCUUCACCUUCCGGUGUUUUCUCCUUGGCGCCAGGAAUUUUUACAUGUCUUUAAGUGAUUGCGGGCAUAAACUUUUAAAGACAUGAAUGCUUAAGUGAUACGUUAUUCAGGUAUGGAAGCUAGGAUAUCACUACAAGAUCUUUGAUCGGAAUUCCUGCCAUCAUCGGACUUUUCAGAAAAAAAUUCCAUCACACUGACUUUUGACAUAGGCAUGUCUAAAUUUUCCACCAAGUUCUGGUGGAAAGGAUAUACAGGAAGAACUCAUACAAUACAUAAAACUGCUUCUGCCUCACAGAAUGUCCAUGGCCCCUGAGAACAGUCAGUCAAGGCUUCGUUCCUGGAGGCACAGGCAUGCGCUGACAUGAAAGUAACCGAUGAACUGUGUGCGUGUAAGACAGGACUGUGUGUACUUCAGACAUUUACAAGAUCAUCAUCACUCUGAUGUCAACAAGCGGGGGCCAAGUUCCACGAGGGAGAGUUUAGAAGCAAUCAAACCUGUUGUAAUUCUUGCGUUUAACAUUUUCCUGGGACGUUUAUCUCAUCUUUAUUAAGCCUUUUUAUCUAACCCAAGACACCACUAGAGCUGGCUCCUGUAUUGACUAUUGUAGUUAUACUAAGUCUACCUCUGCAGUCAGUGCUCUGCUGUGUCCUUUAAAAAUUCUUAACAUUUACAAACAAAAGACAUUUUCAUUCAUUUUGCCCUAGGUCCUUCAAAUUAUGUAAUUGGUCCUGGAUAGAAGAAAUACUUUUAGAGUUUAUGAAACAUCAAGAAGAUGU